ACGAACGCUGGCGGCGUGCCUAAUGCAUGCAAGUCGCACGCAGAGUGCUUGCACUCUGAGUGGCGCACGGCUGAGGAACACGUGGGAAACCUGCCGUCUUGUGGGGGAUAACGGCGCGAAAGCGGCGCUAAUCCCGCAUCCGCUCGCCUAAUCGCGAGGAAAGCCGUAAGGCGCAGGACGAGGGGCCCGCGGCCCAUCAGGGUAGUUGGGGCGGGGGGUAACGGCCCCACCAAGCCUCUGACGGGUAGCUGGUCUGUGAGGAUGACCAGCCAGACUGGGACUGAGAUACGGCCCAGACUCCUACGGGAGGCAGCAGCAAGGAAUUUUCCGCAAUGGGCGCAAGCCUGAACGGAGCAACGCCGCGUGCAGGACGACGGCCUUCGGGUUGUAAACUGCUUUUGGGGGGGGACGACACAGACGGUACCCCCCCGAACAAGCCCCGGCUAACUCUGUGCCAGCAGCCGCGGUAAGACAGAGGGGGCAAGCGUUGUCCGGACUGACUGGGCGUAAAGCUGCCCGCAGGUGGUUCGGCAAGUGAGGUGUGAAAGCGCUCGGCUUAACUGAGCGAGGCCCAUCUCAGACUGCCGAACUGGAGCCGUGCAGAGGCCCGUGGAAUUGCCGGUGUAGUGGUGAAAUGCGUAGAGAUCGGCAGGAACACCUAGGGGGAAACCAGCGGGCUGGGCACGUGCUGACACCGAUGGGGCGAAAGCGUGGGGGAGCGAACCGGAUUAGAUACCCGGGUAGUCCACGCGGGUAAACGAUGGACCGCUCGGCCUGUGGCGGCGGUACUCCUCCCGUCGCUGGGGCCUCAGCUGACGCACUAAGCGUCCCGCCUGGGAACUACGAGCGCAAGCUUAAAACUCAAAGGAAUUGACGGGGGCCCGCACAAGCCAGCGGAGCGUGUGGUUUAAUUCGACGACGCAACUCGCAGAACCCUUACCAACAGAAUUGGACAUGGUAGCUGCAAGCCGCUGAAAGGCGGGUCGCCUUCGAGGGUGCUCCACAGAUGCUGCAUGGCUGUCGUCAGCUCGUGUCGUGAGAUGUUGGGUUAAGUCCCGCAACGAGCGCAACCCCUACGGUCAGUUACUUGUGUCUGACCGGACUGCCGAUUAUCGGAGGAAGGGCGGGGAUGACGUCAAGGUCCGCAUGGCUCUUACGUCUGGGGCGACACACACGCUACAAUGGCGCCGACAGCGCGCAGCGACCGUGCAAACGGGAGCGAAUCGCCAAACCGGCGUCUCAGUGCAGAUCGGGGGCUGCAACUCGCCCCCGUGAAGGCGGAGUUGCUAGUAACCGCGUAUCAGCCACGGCGCGGUGAAUGCGUACCCGGGCCCUGUACACACCGCCCGUCACUGUCAUGGGAGUGGUCAAUGCUUGAAGUCCGUGGGCCAACCUCUUCGGAGGGGGCAGCGGCCGAGGGCAGGGGCCCGCGACUGGGGACG
rnacentral:rRNA from 1 species